rnacentral:rRNA from 1 species
UCGACUGACGCGUGCGAGUUGAGAGGUUGAGCCCUCGGCGACUUGCUCAGUAACACGCGGAUAACCUGCCCUUGGGUCCGGGAUAACCCCGGGAAACUGGGACUAAUACCGGAUAGAUCAAAGAUACUGGAAUGUUCCUUGGUCCAAAACUCCGGUGCCCAAGGAUGGGUCUGCGGCCUAUCAGGUUGUAGUGGGUGUAACGUACCUACUAGCCUACGACGGGUAAGGGUUGUGAGAGCAAGAGCCCUGAGAUGGAUUCUGAGACAUGAAUCCAGGCCCUACGGGGGGCAGCAGGGGCGAAAACUUUACACUGCUAGAAAUAGCGAUAAGGGGACCCCGAGUGCCAGUCCCUAGUACUGGCUGUCCGGCUGUCUAACAACGGUGGUUAGGAAGAGCCGGGCAAGACAAAGCNGAUUUCUC